AACACUGUUAACCUGCGGUACCUGCGGAGGGAUCAUUACGAGAGUGUCACCACUCCCAACCCAUUGUUUACCUACCCGUCCACCGUGCUUCGGCAGGCAGCCUGUGGGACAGAGCCUCGCCCCCUUUCGCGGGGGGUGCCUGCCGCUUGCCAACCAAAACUCUAGCUGUUUUAGUACCAUCUGAGUCUUCCACAAAUGAACAAAACUUUUAACAAUGGAUCUCAGAUCGGAAGAGCACAC
rnacentral:misc_RNA from 1 species